ACGAACGCUGGCGGCGUGCUUCACACAUGCAAGUCGCACGGAAAGGCCCUGCUUUUGUGGGGUGCUCGAGUGGCGAACGGGUGAGUAACACGUGAGUUACCUGCCCUUGACUUUGGUUUAACUUCAGGAAACUUGGGCUAAUACCGGUUAGGAGCUCCUGCUUCUUGUUUGUGGUUGGAAAGUUUCGGCGGUUGGGGAUGGACUCGCUGCUUAUCAGCUUGUUUGUGGGGUAGUGGCUUACCAAGGCUUUGACGGGUAGCCGGCCUGAGAGGGUGACCGGCCACAUUGGGACUGAGAUACGGCCCAGACGCCUACGGGAGGCAGCAGUGGGGAAUAUUGCACAAUGGGAGGAAGCCUGAUGCAGAAACGCCGCGUGCGGGAUGACGGCCUUCGGGGUGUAAACAGAUUUCGCCUGUGACGAAGCGUGAGUGACGGUAAUGGGUAAAGAAGCACCGGCUAACUACGUG
rnacentral:rRNA from 1 species